rnacentral:rRNA from 1 species
UACGAAGGGGGCUAGCGUUGCUCGGAAUCACUGGGCGUAAAGGGUGCGUAGGCGGGUCUUUAAGUUAGGGGUGAAAUCCUGGAGCUCAACUCCAGAACUGCCUUUGAUACUGAGGAUCUUGAGUCCGGGAGAGGUGAGUGGAACUGCGAGUGUAGAGGUGAAAUUCGUAGAUAUUCGCAAGAACACCAGUGGCGAAGGCGGCUCACUGGCCCGGUACUGACGCUGAGGCACGAAAGCGUGGGGAGCAAACAGG